rnacentral:lncRNA from 10 species
CCCGCUUCUCUCUCUCUCUCUCUUUCCUGCUCCGCCGCGGUGAGACGUACUUGCUUCUCCUCACCUUCUACCGUGAUUGAAAUAAAACCUUCAGCUGCAGCUAAGAAUUUGGAGGUUACUGAAGGAGGUUACUUUUUCAAGAGCAGAAGUAAGGAUUCCACUGAAUUUGCUCACCAAAGAUAAGUCAGCAAAGAAAACUUACUGAAGAAUACAGGAACAUAAAUCUUAAGCAGGCUUACAUAAGGAAGGGAAGUGGUUGAAUCUGAGGUAAUUCCAUGGUGGACUUUGAAGAAAGCCUUCCAUGAGUUCCCAGUCCAUAUCCUCCAAAAGACAGCAUAUCAGCUCCUGCUUUCCAGACAAACUUCCUGGGUCUUGGGAAGAAGAAAGCCUCAGACUAAGAACUCUCUCUGGACUCAGACAGCCUGAAUUCAAAUCCCAUCUCUAUUCUUACUAGUCAUAUGAACACAGAUAGUGAAGAAUGAAAGAGAAGCAAAACAGAUCCUGCAGGUUGUGCUCACCACGGUGAAAAUCAUUAUUUGCAACUCCCACAGGAGAACCAUAUCCAUUCAGCUCACUUUGGACCACCUGUGGAGCCUGAUAACCAGGGAACAGAGAACCUGUUGAGAUCCAAAUUUGUGUGCCAGAUCACAAACUCAUCUGAAGCAGAUGCCACGUGUUACACUGUUAUGUCUCUCAGAGACUCCAGCACUUUGAAAGUAUUAGGCCUUGCUUAUUGAGAUGAAUAUUUUUUUCUAGGCAUGUCCCAAAGUUCUCAGCAUAGCUACAACCCUGAUUUUCACAGGAUUUUCAUUAAAAUUAGGUUCUAGAGCAUUACUUCCCUAAUGUGCAAUGCAACUUACGUUUAGUUUUCAAAUCAAAAUUAGUUUUGUUUUUCCACUGUCUUUGUCUUUGAAAAUAUUGAACUUGGGAUUUCCAAAAUUAUAAUUAGCAAUUAUUUUUACAUAUCUUUUAUAUACAUAACUUUUACAAUGGCUGCCAUUAUCAUGUAGGUUCUUAGGAAGUGUUUCUGAUCCUUGUAAAUAAAAGUGAAAGAAGAAAUCUUUACUGCUUGCUGACCCAUGUGACUAACCUUGAAAUCAGAGAGGCAGAUUCAUUUAAAACAAACUUGCAAACUGUUAAGCAAAGUACUGAAUCUCUGUGACUUGACCAAAAGUAAUUCAGACUUGACUAUUCCAGGCUCCCUUCUAUCUCUGUAGCAACCCAUGCAUCAUAGACUCCAGUUGCAAUGGAUGGUCAAGGAAUCUGCUGUGCCUUUUGAGUCUCUCCAUUUUAUAUUGCCAAAUUUAUCUUCCUUUAAUACUUCACUUCACAUAAGACACUAAGAUAAACAAGGAUGCAACUCACUUAUAUUUCAAAAUAGUACCUAGUGGUUAAAAGUACUUGUUCUGAAAGCAACUCUAUUUUUCUAGUUCUAACAUGUCUCCAACUAGUUAUCUCACCUUGAGCUUGGCACAUAAUCACUCCAUCUUACUUUUGCAUCUGUGACACAAGAAAAAUACCACCCACCUCAACAUAGAUCUUAUGAAGAUUAAAAUAAGAUUAUGAAAGUAAAAUGCUCAGCACAAUGUCUAAACGAAAAUAAAUGCUCAGCAAGUAGGAGCUACUAUAAUUAUUAUCCAGAUCAAAUAUUUUCUCCUCUAUGAAGCUUUCUUAUUCUUCCCCAGCUGGAAUUACUUAUUUUCUUCCUUGCUUUCUACACCACACUUUAGUCACCACCAUGCUGGCACUUGUCUCACCGCAUUAUAAUUAUUUAUGUGCCUGUGUUCCAUAACCAGAAUAUGGGACUUAAGCUUCUUUAUACCUCCAGCAUAAUUGUUUCAUGUGUGCUUUUAGGUAAUGGAGUAAAAUGGAUGAAUGAGUGAAUGCGACUAUAGUACUAAAUGCUCUUAGAUAAAGAUGUAAUUAUUCUUAAGUGAUAAAAUUAUUCGAACAUGAGUAGUUCAGAUAAUGAGAGACUGUCAUAGAAUUACUUGAUAAAAUCUAGUCAAUAAAAUGGCUUGGCAAUAUAACCUUUAUGAUUUCUUUAAACAAUCAUUCAUUUCUUUCUGAAGAUGAGAAGAGGAGAUUCCUUCUCCCAUCUUUAUAUUUCAACAAUGAUUAGAAAACAAAUUGAUCUCUGGGAUCAGUGCCCAAUACCAUUAAAGUGGUAUACAUCUUACAAUUCUUAAUUAAUUUGUGGCAUACAUAUACCAGUCUCCACAGCCAGCUUCAUCUGCAUACAGCAGCAUAAUCACUUUUUUCCUUAUAGUAAAGACAUAUUAUGAGUCAUCAAAGUCUUCUCCGGGGGUUGUGGUUAUCAUCUGGUAAUCACACCCUUGGGAGGUUAAAAACACUUAUCUUUGGAUCAUGACUUGCAAUGCCCCAGGGGUGUGAUUAUCUCAGGCAACUCACACUUUCUGUCAUGCCUAAUUGCUUAAUUAUUAUAGCUGCAAGUUCACACCACCAUACAGGAACUCAUGUUGUGUCAGCAUUUCCACUAUAAAUUCCUUUUUCAAGAGUCUAUAACUCAGCCAUAAAAAAAAAAAAAAAAAAAACCUAUGGUCCAUUGAAGCACUGCAGUAAGAGUCUUAUUCCAGGAAACAUUUCUGUAAUAGGUUAAUUGUAUCUUAAAAAUUGGGUCCUGAUUCUCAUAGUUAGUUCACCAAAGAAAUAAAUGCUAAUUAAAUGUCUCUAAAUUAUAUAUUUUUCUGUAUGGCUGGGUAAAUAAUGUAAAUCCUAAAGACAUAAAUAUUAUUUUUUAAAUAUAACAAGAAUGGCUCAUACAAUUUCCAGUUUUUUGGAAAUACACUUACACAUAUUUAUAAAAUAUUAUAUAAGUAGAAUGAGCUAAACCAUAGUUAGAGAACAUUGUCAUAUGCAAUCAUGUACUACAUAAUAUUUCAGUCAGUGGACAGCAUGUGGCAGUGGUCACAUAAGAUUAUAACGCAGCUGAAAAAUUCCUGUUGUCUAAUGACAUCAUGGCUGUCAUAACUGUCAUGGCCGUCAUGGCCAUCUGAACAUUGUAGUACAAUGUAUUCCUCAUGUGUUUGUGGUGAUGCUGAUGUAAACAAGCAUCUGCACUGCCAGUUGUAUAAAAGUGUAGCACAUACAAUUAUGUACAUACAAUUAUGCACACACAAUUAUGUACAACACAUAAUAUUUUAUAAUGACAAUAAACAAUUUUGUUACCGGUUUAUGUAUUCACUGUACUAUACCUUUCAUCAUUAUUUUAGAGUGUACUCUUUCUACUUAUAUAUAAAAAAAAGUUAAUUGUAAAACAGCCUCUAGCAGGUCCUUCAGGACAUAUUCCAGAAGAAGGCAUUGUUAUCAUAGGAGAUGACGGUUCCAUGCGUGUUAUUGCCCCUGAAGACCUUCCAGUGGGUCAAGAUAUGGAGGUGAAAGACAGUGAUAUUGAUGAUCCUGACCCUGCGUAGGCCAAGUUUUCUUGACUUCACUUAAUCUGCUGGAAGCUGAUCCUUUUCAUGUCCAUGUUUAAGGAAGCGUUGAAGGUCACGUCACUCAAAGCCAACAUCAGCAGGCAUCCUACCAAGAUAAUCUCUGAAGAGGUCAGAGGCACAAUUAUUACAAUUUAUUGUGGACAGGAAAACACAUGGAUGUUGAAUACCAGUUCCUGUGAAAGAUACUUGGGUUUCGGGAUAACAACAGUCCCAAGUCUUCAGAACAAAUCAACAGAAUUCAAUCAAGUAUUUCCUUGCACUUACUUGUUAUGACUUCUUAGUCUCUCCAGUCUGUGACAGUUACUCAUUUUCUCCCUGAUACAAGGACUACAACACUUUGGAAGGUGCUUGUCAGAAAUUUAUUCUCCUUAUAUACAUUCCUACACACAUGUGGAUGCUUUUAUUGAAACCAGUUCAUAGGUAUGUUUGUAUAAUCUUUAUACACAUAAAAUAUAUUUUUUUC